UGAACUAAAAGUUUUGGAGAUUUUUUUUUUGGCCUGUUUUGUUGGAUUUGGGGCUCAAACUGUUAUAAAAGUUGGCAAUCAUGAGUUCAUAUUUCAACUUCCUGUUUGCUUAUUCAUGCAUGUGUUGGUCUGUGUUGUAUUUGUGGGGUGUGGUGAGUAGGGAAUGAUGCGGAUUUGCCAAACCUCGACUGAUCCUCUGCUUCUCUCCUGACAGGAUGCCGGGAGUGUCGAUGAUGCUGAUGCUCUCCAGGACCGGGUUGGGCAACUGGGCGCACAUGAACCUAUUUAGGAGAAAAAGAGGGAGGGGGCAUCAAGUACAGUAUAAAGAGGAAGAGAAGAAAAAGAAGGAAGUGGAAAAAGAGCAUGAAGCAGGAUGGAAGAGGUGUGGGGAAAAAAAAGGUGCUACCCCUCCACAUGCACACGCACGCAUGCAAGCAAGAAAUCUGAGGCAGACGCUAAGCACCAGGUUGCCUAUUUCACCAUAUAAAUGAAGAACAAAAAGGAGAAAAUGCAUAUUCAAUGAGUUUUAUUGACAGAACACGAACAGAAUACAACAAAUGUGAUAUUUAGGAUGUAGCCUGGUAUGUAGGGGUUUGGGAAGAUAAGAGGUGUCCCACCACAGAUAACAGCAGCUCCACUGGAAGCCCAAGUUUUCCCAUAUGGAGAUGCUGUUACAGCUGGUGAGACCCAUAGCAGAGGAGCACAGCUGUCAGGCAGAACAUGUGGAAAAGUGAAUGUGGUAUAACAUUCAUUCCAUUGAGACAAUGGGAGGAAAAAUGCAUCAGGUAUUAGGAAUAACAACUACACAUUUUAUCAAGUGUUAUGUGGUUCCCAUUUUCAUGAUUACGUUAGAAUUUGCACAGAAAAAGUUACACACAGGACAUGACACACAACAUAUAAAUGUCUAAAUUUUAAAUUGGGAAAUCCCAACAUGUCUUGUGAUGAGCCUCAGCUUCUUGUUUGAGUAAUAACUUCCAGACAGAAAACUGCCCACACGUGAAAUAGUGCUGCCCCCUUCUGGUCACAGUGCGCUGACUGAAGAAAUGAUUUACUGAUAAUAUCACAGCCUUCAAGUGAUAACCCGUCUCACGCGUAAUAAACCUAAAGUCAAGAACCAUAGUGUCCUUGGAUUUUAACCCCAUUGACAUUACAUGUCUAAUCUUAUGACACCAAUAAAAUGAGGGAGAAGAAGACAAGACAAGGGAGUGAUCAAAUGUAACAUGUAAUAAAUGUUUUACAUAUCAGAAAUGUUUUACUAAGUGAACUGGAGUUAUGUUUCAGUUCACUGUGUAAAUCCUUUCUGAACCGUUUUUUUUAGAAUUUCAGUAAUAUGAAGAGGUUUUGACCUUUAACCCUGUCCUCCAAUGAAAAAAAAACAGGGCAAUAAAAAUAAUUCAAGUUGCACAUUCA